rnacentral:lncRNA from 1 species
UUUAGUAUAGCCCGUAGCCGAACAAAGCACACCAGAUGGUCCAGAUCUACGAAUUACGAUUCUAAUUUCUACAUUUCUACUGUACUCUCUGAACUCUCAAAUCUCGAUUCUCGAAUGCUCUCAGUCUCAGCCCUGAUCUCCAACUCUCAGAUCGCCUUUGCCGACCAUAGAACGAAAUAAAAAAAAGCAGAUCCAGAUCAGAAAAACAAUUGCUUGCAGCCGGGAGCCGGCAGACCCAGAUCUCCAAAUCUCAUCGCCUUUGGCGCGGCAGCCGGUAGUCCUUCAUCUCGAACUCUCAAUCUCUCAAGUCUUAAAGAAGCUUUCAUAAAACAAUUGCUUUUAACCAGGUCAGAAAAACAAACAUGCCUCCUUUUUGUGAAGUGCCUAAACGAUUAACCUUUUGUUUUUUUAGCAUCAACUUGAGUAGUAAUUUUUAUUCGAGUAGCGGGAGUGGUACGUAUAGCAUAGGUUCUGUGUCCACUUGUUACAGUCUUGAAUUCUGAUGAAAUUCUUGUUACAGUCUUGCUUCUAUAAGCAAUUGACUUGGGAGAUAACUAGAUAAGCAUGAAGCUUCUUUAAUAUAUGCUUUUAUGAAAUUAAUAUAUGCAAUUAUCUUGAUGAAUGAUGGGUCUAAGUCUUCAGAGUUGUGUUUCUUUGCUCAUUAAAAUCAGUUUAUAUAUUUUGGUCAUUUGUUUCUGUUUAGCAAGCCAGCUACAUGAAUUGUUUUCAUUAAUUGUUUUCCAUUUAUGAUUCAAGCGAGUCAUGAAUCAUAUGUAUUCUAUGGCAGCCACGGAAUAUUUUUACCCAGUUUUUUCUGGUUUCACUGAAGCAAGCCCUUUAAAUGUAUGAUAUUUCCCAACUUAUUGCUUGAAGUUUUUACAGAGCUUAUUUACAGAGCUUAUUUAGUGUUUGAAUUAGUUUCCCAACUUAUUUACAGAGCUUUUUGUGUUGGAAAUAACUUGUUGUUAAUUUAAUUUGUUUGAAAUUUUCAGAUGAUGUCAAGAAGUAUUUUAAAUGAUUUGUUCUCAUAUUAUUCAAUUGAAACAUUUUUGAUAAAUAAACUCCAAAGCAGAUUACAACAAUCCUACUUCUUCUUUUUUCUUUCCUCAAAUACUUACCUCAUUAAGCUUCUAUAUUUUCCAAUUUCAAGUUAAUUGUCCAGCAUCUUUAUCUAUGCUGACUGCCAAUUACUAUGUCAGUCAAUUCUCAUAUAUCUGGGGGAAAAUGGACAAUAUGGAUAUUCCUCAACAAUUCAAAAUUUAACUUCCUAGUGGACA